rnacentral:rRNA from 1 species
AACGUAGGAGACAAACGUUAUCCGGAGUUACUGGGCGUAAAGGGCGUGUAGGUGGUUGUGUAAGUCUGGCGUGAAAUUUUUCGGCUUAACCGGGAAAGGUCGUCGGAUACUGCACAACUAGAGGACGGUAGAGGCGUGUGGAAUUCCGGGUGUAGUGGUGAAAUGCGUAGAGAUCCGGAGGAACGCCAGUGGCGAAGGCGACACGCUGGGCCGUACCUGACACUGAUGCGCGACAGCAUGGGGAGCAAACAGG